UACGGGGGGGGCAAGCGUUGUUCGGAAUUACUGGGCGUAAAGGGCGCGUAGGCGGUCAGACCAAGUCGAGUGUGAAAUUCCAGGGCUUAACUCUGGCGCGCUCGCUCGAUACUGGUCGGCUAGAGUGUGGAAGAGGAUGCUGGAAUUCCCGGUGUAGCGGUGAAAUGCGUAGAUAUCGGGAAGAACACCCGUGGCGAAGGCGGCACUCUGGGACGGUACUGACGCUGAGACGCGAAAGCGUGGGGAGCGAACAGG
rnacentral:rRNA from 1 species